rnacentral:rRNA from 1 species
CGCCCCUUAUGACCUGGGCUACACACGUGCUACAAUGGUUGGUACAACGAGUUGCGAGUCGGUGACGGCGAGCUAAUCUCUUAAAGCCAAUCUCAGUUCGGAUUGUAGGCUGCAACUCGCCUACAUGAAGUCGGAAUCGCUAGUAAUCGCGGAUCAGCACGCCGCGGUGAAUACGUUCCCGGGCCUU